UACGAAGGGGGCUAGCGUUACUCGGAUUGACUGGGCGUAAAGGGCGCGUAGGCGGCUUGUACAGUCAGGCGUGAAAUUCCUGGGCUCAACCUGGGGGCUGCGUUUGAUACGUGCGGGCUUGAGUUCGGAAGAGGGUCGUGGAAUUCCCAGUGUAGAGGUGAAAUUCGUAGAUAUUGGGAAGAACACCGGUGGCGAAGGCGGCAUCCUGGACCGGUAUUGACGCUGAGGAGCGAAAGCCAGGGGAGCAAACGGGG
rnacentral:rRNA from 1 species